UUGAACGCUGGCGGCAGGCCUAACACAUGCAAGUCGAACGGUAACAGGAAGCAGCUUGCUGUUUCGCUGACGAGUGGCGGACGGGUGAGUAAUGUCUGGGAAACUGCCUGAUGGAGGGGGAUAACUACUGGAAACGGUAGCUAAUACCGCAUAACGUCGCAAGACCAAAGAGGGGGACCUUCGGGCCUCUUGCCAUCGGAUGUGCCCAGAUGGGAUUAGCUAGUAGGUGGGGUAACGGCUCACCUAGGCGACGAUCCCUAGCUGGUCUGAGAGGAUGACCAGCCACACUGGAACUGAGACACGGUCCAGACUCCUACGGGAGGCAGCAGUGGGGAAUAUUGCACAAUGGGCGCAAGCCUGAUGCAGCCAUGCCGCGUGUAUGAAGAAGGCCUUCGGGUUGUAAAGUACUUUCAGCGGGGAGGAAGGGAGUAAAGUUAAUACCUUUGCUCAUUGACGUUACCCGCAGAAGAAGCACCGGCUAACUCCGUGCCAGCAGCCGCGGUAAUACGGAGGGUGCAAGCGUUAAUCGGAAUUACUGGGCGUAAAGCGCACGCAGGCGGUUUGUUAAGUCAGAUGUGAAAUCCCCGGGCUCAACCUGGGAACUGCAUCUGAUACUGGCAAGCUUGAGUCUCGUAGAGGGGGGUAGAAUUCCAGGUGUAGCGGUGAAAUGCGUAGAGAUCUGGAGGGAUACCGGUGGCGAAGGCGGCCCCCUGGACGAAGACUGACGCUCAGGUGCGAAAGCGUGGGGAGCAAACAGGAUUAGAUACCCUGGUAGUCCACGCCGUAAACGAUGUCGACUUGGAGGUUGUGCCCUUGAGGCGUGGCUUCCGGAGCUAACGCGUUAAGUCGACCGCCUGGGGAGUACGGCCGCAAGGUUAAAACUCAAAUGAAUUGACGGGGGCCCGCACAAGCGGUGGAGCAUGUGGUUUAAUUCGAUGCAACGCGAAGAACCUUACCUGGUCUUGACAUCCACGGAAGUUUUCAGAGAUGAGAAUGUGCCUUCGGGAACCGUGAGACAGGUGCUGCAUGGCUGUCGUCAGCUCGUGUUGUGAAAUGUUGGGUUAAGUCCCGCAACGAGCGCAACCCUUAUCCUUUGUUGCCAGCGGUCCGGCCGGGAACUCAAAGGAGACUGCCAGUGAUAAACUGGAGGAAGGUGAGGAUGACGUCAAGUCAUCAUGGCCCUUACGACCAGGGCUACACACGUGCUACAAUGGCGCAUACAAAGAGAAGCGACCUCGCGAGAGCAAGCGGACCUCAUAAAGUGCGUCGUAGUCCGGAUUGGAGUCUGCAACUCGACUCCAUGAAGUCGGAAUCGCUAGUAAUCGUGGAUCAGAAUGCCACGGUGAAUACGUUCCCGGGCCUUGUACACACCGCCCGUCACACCAUGGGAGUGGGUUGCAAAAGAAGUAGGUAGCUUAACCUUCGGGAGGGCGCUUACCACUUUGUGAUUCAUGACUGGGGUG
rnacentral:rRNA from 1 species